UACGAGAGGUCCAAACGUUAUUCGGAAUCACUGGGCUUACAGAGUUCGUAGGCGGUACGGAAAGUGGGGUGUGAAAGCCCUCGGCUCAACCGAGGAACUGCGCUCCAAACUACCGUGCUAGAGGAAGAUAGAGGUGAGCAGAACUGAUGGUGGAGCGGUGAAAUGCGUUGAUAUCAUCAGGAAUACCGGAGGCGAAGGCGGCUCACUGGGUCUUUUCUGACGCUGAGGAACAAAAGCUAGGGGAGCAAACGGG
rnacentral:rRNA from 1 species